GGGCCUGCACAAGCGGUGGAGUAUGUGGCUUAAUUCGAUGCAACGCGAAGAACCUUACCUGGCCUUGACAUGCAUCUCUAAGUGUGUGAAAGCACAUGACCCCUCGGGGAAUUUGCACAGGUGCUGCAUGGCUGUCGUCAGCUCGUGUCGUGAGAUGUUGGGUUAAGUCCCGCAACGAGCGCAACCCUUAUGUUUUGUUGCCACUUUCGCUUCGGCGGAAAGCACUCUAAACAGACUGCCUCGUCUCAACGAGGAGGAAGGUGGGGAUGACGUCAAGUCAGUAUGGCCCUUACGGCCAGGGCUGCACACGUACUACAAUGCCCAGUACAAUGGGAAGCAAUACCGCGAGGUGGAGCAAAUCCUCAAAACUGGGCCCAGUUCAGAUUGUAGUCUGCAACUCGACUACAUGAAGUCGGAAUCGCUAGUAAUGG
rnacentral:rRNA from 1 species